UAACGUGUGGGCAACCUGCCCUGUACUGGGGAAUAAUCAUUGGAAACGAAUGACUAAUACCGCAUGUGGUCCUCGGAAGGCAUCUUCUGAGGAAGAAAGGAUUUAUUCGGUACAGGAUGGGCCCGCAUCCGAUUAGCUAGUUGGUGAGAUAACAGCCCACCAAGGCGACGAUCAGUAGCCGACCUGAGAGGGUGAUCGGCCACAUUGGGACUGAGACACGGCCCAA
rnacentral:rRNA from 1 species